UUCCGGUUGAUCCUGCCGGACCCGACUGCUAUCAGAGUGGGACUAAGCCAUGCGAGUCGACGUAGCAAUGCGUGGCGAACGGCUCAGUAACACGUAGUCAACAUGCCCAGGGGACGUGGAUAACCUCGGGAAACUGAGAAUAAACCACGAUAGGUCACGAUUUCUGGGAUGGAUCAUGGCCUAAAUCUACAUGGCCCCUGGAUUGGACUGCGGCCGAUCAGGCUGUUGGUGAGGUAAUGGCCCACCAAACCUAUAACCGGUACGGGCUCUGAGAGGAGAAGCCCGGAGAUGGGCACUGAGACAAGGGCCCAGGCCCUAUGGGGCGCAGCAGGCGCGAAACCUCUGCAAUAGGCGAAAGCCUGACAGGGUUACUCUGAGUGAUUUCCGCUAAGGGGAUCUUUUGGCACCUCUAAAAAUGGUGCAGAAUAAGGGGUGGGCAAGUCUGGUGUCAGCCGCCGCGGUAAUACCAGCACCCCGAGUGUCGGGACGAUUAUUGGGCCUAAAGCAUCCGUAGCCGGUUCUGCAAGUCUUCCGUUAAAUCCAGCUGCUCAACAGAUGGGCCGCGGAGGAUACUACAGAGCUAGGAGGCAGGAGAGGCAAGCGGUACUCAGUGGGUAGGGGUAAAAUCCGUUGAUCCAUUGAAGACCACCAGUGGCGAAGGCGGCUUGCCAGAAUGCGCUCGACGGUGAGGGAUGAAAGCUGGGGGAGCAAACCGGAUUAGAUACCCGGGUAGUCCCAG
rnacentral:rRNA from 1 species